CAUGAAUAUCAGGUUAGACUGGGUAAGAAAACGUGAAACUGAUUGAAUCAGGAAGUUCAGACAACCUUCUUAUUCGCAGUAAGAUCUGAUCUGAACUACUGCAAAUUCAGUUACUCUAAGAAGAGGUUCAACGCAGACGAUUCUAACACUCCAAAAAAAGGCAAAGAGAAGAAAAAAGGAGGCGGAAGAAAAUGGCUAAAUUUUCAUCACAGCGACUAAAAGAAGUUCCCAGUGUUCUGUCUGAAGAUCAGUUCCUGUGUUCUAUCUGUCUGGAUCUGUUCACUGAUCCAGUCUCCACUCCAUGUGGACACAACUU
rnacentral:lncRNA from 1 species